rnacentral:rRNA from 1 species
UACGGAGGGUGCGAGCGUUAAUCGGAAUAACUGGGCGUAAAGAGCUCGUAGGCGGUUUGUCAAGUCAGAUGUGAAAGCCCCGGGCUUAACCUGGGAACCGCAUUUGAAACUGACAGACUAGAGUACUGUAGAGGGAGGUAGAAUUCCAGGUGUAGCGGUGAAAUGCGUAGAUAUCUGGAGGAAUACCGGUGGCGAAGGCGGCCUCCUGGACAGAGACUGACGCUGAGGAGCGAAAGCGUGGGGAG